AUGUCGGGGACCGCGUUCCGACGGCCCGUCCGGUCACAGGAAAUGAAGUCCGAGUAGGAGGACUCGACUUCCAUCAUGCCGGUCGCAUUGCUCUUCAGGCCUGUGGGGACGGGAGCAGGGGCGGAGGGGCAAUGAGGAGCUCCCUCUCAGGACAGCAGGGAAGGUCUCUGUCCACUGCAGGCUGCCCUGUCGUUCAGUCUGGGAUCGCUAGGAUCUGGCGCUGGAGGAUGGAGCUGCAGACUCCACCUCAGAGGCUUGCUUCCCGCUGGACCAGAUACCCGUCAGGCUUGGGCUCCUGCCCGUGCCCAGCUGACCUCACAAGCUGCCUAGGGCAAGGAGCUGAACUCCUGGCUCGGAGAGGGACGUGUGCCAAGCUCGAAGGCCAAUCCUGGAAAACACUAACCGAGCUAACGUGCUCCAGCUGACUCAGCCCAAACCACUCAGGGAAGAGCAAUUUUCCAAAGUGAUUCUGAGCUUGGGUCUCGGGGGCUCUCUGACCUACAGUGCAAAAACACAGUUUCAUUUUUCUUCAACAUUUGUAUUCUUCCCUCACUCUCUGCUCUUUAUAGGCAACAGCACAUGGAGAAAGAAAAGAAAGAAUCUUCAGAGUUGGAAAUUAUGCCAGAAAAUGGUCAUUUUCUGACUCUUGCUAAUGAGAGUGUUAACUCUCAGGAUGUCUCUAAGGAGAGACCUGACAAGAUGCAUCAAGAAAUCUAAACUUUUUCCAUAUCCUUGAGCCAGUCAACUUAUAACAAUUUAUCCUAAGAAAAUAAUCCAAGUUGUGCUUAAGAUAAAUGAACAAAGAUGUUGAUCACAGUAUUAUUUAUAACAAUCAAAACCUAAAGACACCAAAAUGAGCUCCUAAAUGGAUAUGUCAAAACCUAAAUGGACAACAAAGAAAUAUAUACAUAUCCAACUAAUUUAUAUUCAAAUAAAAUACUAUCCAGGCAUUAAAAUGUGAAUAUUUUUAAAAGGCACUGGAAAAUGUUCACAUACACUGUUAAAUGAAGAAUCUCAAUCGAUAUAAUCAAGUAUUAUGAUUUUAAAAUAUUGUUUUGCAUUUUCUAAAUUUUGUGAAAGAGUUCAUUUUAAUUUUUGAAUGUGUGCAUGUGGUAUAAAACUCAAAAGGUACAAAAGAAAAAGGAGUAAGAGCUCAGUGGCCUCCUUGGACUCAGACACCCUCCCCAGGGCAAGCACUUUCUUGUGUCCUUCCGGAGACAGGCUGGGCAAUGUACACACUCCCUCCUUCCUUCCCUUCCUUUUAUUUAAAAUAAAGGUUGUUUUCCUUCAUGCUUUUUUCAUUUAAAAAUCUAUCCUGGAAACAAAUCCAGACCACCAGGAAGCCACUGCAGCACUGACUAUAUCAAAACCCCAGGAACAAAUCCAAAGUCCUUAUACAGCUAAAUUUUUUAAACCAUUUUUACUGGUUGCAUGGUAUUCUGUUACCUUACUACUGUACGUGAACUAUUUUCCUGUUGAUGGACUUUGGUGUUCUUUCCAUAAAAACAGAAUUGCCCCAUUAAGGGAUCUGUGAAUUUUUUCUAUUACAAUAGAUACUGCCUAGUUUCCCCCCACCCCCAGAGCAUAAUUAUUUAACAUCCACUUGGCAUAUACGAAGGGGACUUCAUUUUUGCCACAUUCUCAUCAGCACACCCCUCAGCCCAGGUGGAAACUAUGUGGCUGUUUUCAGUUUCUAUUGCUCCUGGGAAUGAAGCUGAACAUCUUUGUGUGUUUCCUCUUCUCUGUUAUUUACUCAAAUACUUUUGUCCAUUUUUCUAUUGGAUCAUAGCCCCUCUUCUUAGUGAUCUGUGUUCUUUAUAAAGAAAUUCAUCUUUUUUAAUUAAAAGGAGUGACAAGUGAUUGUUUACUUGUUAUUUGUUCUUUGACUUUAUUUUUGGUGUUUCUCCCCAUGCACACCUUUUUUUCUAUUCAUGUAGUCAAACUGAUCCAUUUUUUUUAUGGUUUCUGGAUCAUACUUAGAAGUGUCUUCCCCACUCUAAGAUUAGUGUUUUCUUAUACUUUUAUAGGUCUAUUUUUCACAUUUAAACCUUCGAUCUGGAAUUUAUUUGCUUUAAGGAAUGAGAGAUCCACCUUAAUUUUUCCAUUUAUCUCAAACUGUGUAAUAAUCAAACUAGAAGGGAUCCCAGAGCUCACCUAGACAAGCCUCCCAUUAACAGCUGAGGACACUGAGGUUCAGAAAGGGAAAGUGAUUUGCCCAAAGUUCUUGAAUCUAGGAGUCCUAAGUCCUGGCCAGGAGCUCUUUCUCCCAUGCCAUGCCGCCCCUCGGGAGACUCCAGCGCCAUCACAAAUUUCUGAGGGGUGAGUGUGGUGUGGUGGAAGGCAUCUAGUGAGAGUGCACAGGUCUGUAUCCCUGUUUACUCGCUCAGAGACCUUGGACAACUCCCUUCACCUCUCUGGACUCCAGUUUCCCCCUCAGCAAUUUGGGGGAUAACAGUAACACCCAGCUGCUGCUCAGGAGCUGGUGUGAAGUGUCAGUGAGGUGAUGAGCGUCUGAUAAGGUACAGGGAAUGGAAGAGGCAGGCAAUGAAUAAGUAAUUAGUAAUUUUCAUUCAACUCCUUUGUUUUCACUCCAUGUUUAAUGGCACAUAAAAGGCCAAACUUAGGUUUCCUUCUUUUGUGCUCUAAGGUGCUAAGGAAGAUGCAAGUUCCACAGAAGUGGUGGUCCAGCCUGGCAUGUCUACUGCUAUAUCUGAAAGACCUAGCACAUAGUCUAAGCUCAAUGAAUAUUCAAUGAAUGAGUGAAUAAAAUGUUCUAGAUUCCAGGGUAGAAAGAGCAAACGGUAUGCAGUCGUGCAUCCUAACAGAGGCCAAAGGUCUGGCUCAGUCUCUGCAGCAGGGCGACCCCACUGGGUCCCCUUCAACUUCUUUUUCUUCCAUCUGAGUAAUAUAGGUUGAAAUAGGAUCUCUAAGUCUCUUCCUAUCUUGACUUUCCUUCCUUCCUUCCUCCUUCCCUUCUUUCCUUCCUUCUUUUCAUUCAUUCAUUCAUUCAUUCAGUGUUUACUGCACAUUCUAUAUGCCACCCACUGUACCAGGUAUGGGGUAUACAUUGGAGACUUAAAAGAUAUUUACAAUCUGAUAAAAGAAAAAGACAUUGAACAGGUCAAUGAGUCUAUCAUCACAGAUUCUCCUAAGUGCUAUGGAAGAAAAUAGGGUUCUCUGCAUGUGGAUGGUUCAAUUAAAGCUUGUAUGGUCAAGGAAGUCCUCCUUAAGGAGGUGACCUGGUGCUGAGAAUCUCAGGAAGGUUGAAUGGAGGGUGAUCCACACAUAGCCAACAGCCAAUCUGGGUCUACAGCAGUCUAACAUCAAGGUCAACAGAGCGCUCCAGAGUGACUUUCUUUGCUCUUCCUCAUCCUCGGGAAGUUUGGAGGCCUUGCUGAGGUCUGGACACUCGGAAGACAUUUGAUCCUGGAGCCCAGGACAGAAGAGAAGAGCCCUUGUACUCAGCUUCCCAGACCUUCACUGGCCUGGGCCCAGAGGCUGAGGCUUUGCAGGUGCCUGCUCCGGGCACUGCCAGCUUUCCCCACAGGAAGCCGCCUUCGCUCUUCAGUCUUUAAUUCUCCCCCUAGUUUUGUGAACUGAAGUGGCCCUGGGCCCUGCCAAGAGCUACACGGUCUGUUCCAAGUCUGCAGCUAUCAGUCCUCAUUGCUCAGGCUGGUUCCAUUACAGCUCCAAAUUGUUUUCCAAAUAUACCAGAAAGGUCAUUUCCUGUUUUUUUUUCUUUUCAAAAAAUUAAAUAUUUGCAGAGACUAUACAAAAAGAAAGCAGACCCUUUUUCAAAGGACACAGAACACAGAGUGAGACUUGGUCCCAUGGGAGAGGCCUUGGGAAUGGGGAAAAUGCUCUCUAAGGCUUCUCUGCGGGAAUAAAGAGCUAUGGAAAACUGAUGGAAAUACCAGGGCCUACUGAGCUGGCAUUCCUCAGAUUCAAAGGUAAGCGGCUUUUCUCUGUGAUGGGCAGCCAGAACCAGAGAGGCACCGAGGCAAACAGUAAUGCCAGGGCCCCAAGCCUAGCACAUUCCCAGAACCUGGGAAAUAGCAGGGCAGCUGGAUCUAGCUACGAGCAGCCUGCUGGGGACGGCCGCUAAGCUCUAUCUAGUGCCUUAGGGGCACACCCAUGGCACAGUCACUAGAGAGGAUCCCGUGUCCUGCCAGGUCAGUGCCUGAUGCCUGUGCUGAGGCUUUGUCUGGAGGCAGUCAGGCGGGGGCCUUGGCCUCAGCACCCAGCAGGCCAGAGCCGCGCGGCCCUGGGUGCAGGUGGUGGAGAGACCUGCUUUGGGAGGCCGUGAGGUAAGGAGGAACGGGUAGGGUGCUGGGGUCACACAAGGUCCUCAGUGACUCCCAGUUGCCACGGACACCCUUCUGCUCAGAUCUCUCUCCUCCAGAGGCCUCCAGACACCACAUCCUCCGGGCCCAACCUCUCAGGCCUUUUCUCAACUUCUUCCACACAGGCGUCUCCUCCAUCAGGGACCUUUGUGUUAGAGGUCACUCAGGACCAGGCCUGGGUCCUCUUCUCUGUCUGCUCCCUUGGGGUUCUUAGCCUUUCCCUUAAUGGUGUGUGUUGAUGAUUCCCAGAUGGCCCGGCCCAUCUUCAGAGCUCCAGAUUUGACGGUCUAACUGCCUACCCAGCACAGCCUUUGCACAUCUCACUAGCACUACACGCGUCACAGCUCACGUCACAAGUCUCUCCCUCCAGCCUUCCCCCUCUCAGUGAAGGCACCGUCCACCCAGCCUGCCAAGAUGGAAACCUGGAGCCAUCUGGGAUUUCUCCUCCUCCUUUACAGCUCACAUACAGUCCUACAACCCAUCACCAGGUCCUGUCAUUCUACUUGCAAAAGAGAGCUGGGAUUGGCCCACCUCUCCCUCUACAUGCAUCACCUGGUCCCCACCAUCUCUCCUCUAAGCCCCUAGUGGCACCUCCUCACUGCAUCCCUGCCCCUCCCUUGCCUUUGGGCCAAAGUUGAUUUUCCAUCAAGCAGCCAGAGUGAUGUUCACAAAUCAGACAUUGGGUCAUGUGGUACCCCUGCUUCAUUCAACCUUUGAUACUUUCCCACUCCUUCUGGCAAAAUCCAAACUCUCUGCACAGCCCCAAAGUCCUACCUUGGUCUGGCCCUGCCUUCCUGCUGCAACCUUGUCUCAUGUCCACUCUCUUCUUGACCCAUUCUGCUCUUUAAUUCCACAGAUCAGCUAAGCUCUUACUGACCUCAGGGCUCUCACAAGAUUGUUUCCUCUGCCGGAACAUUCUCUGUCAUUCUGCUCUUUACAGAGCCUCAUAAGUGGAUUCCUGGCCCUGCCUUUUUCAGUUUUCCUGCUCUAGGACCCUGACAUGGGGCUGUAGCAGUUUUAAGUCUACAGAAUCCCUCUGUCCACCACUACUGCAUGUCCGGAAGACCUGGCUGAGCUGCCUGGAGUCUUGUGAGAUGUGGUGGACACAGCAAGGCCUUUGGGUUGCUCAGCUUCUGCCCUUAUAGCUAAGCCACUCACCUGACCAAAGAUUCCUUGUCUGUAAAAUGGAGCUAUAACAACCGCUUUGAAAAGUGGCUGUGAGCGAGUAAUCUGUGAUGAAAUCCUUACUAUAUGCCAGACUGUGCCAACAGCAUCUACAAGCAUUAUCUCAUUUAGUUUUACAGCAGCUCUAUGAAGUAGAAAGCAUUAUUAUUCCUGUCAUACAAAAAUGGAAGAUGAGGUGCAGAGAGGUUAAGCAGCUUGCUCAAGGUCAUACACGCACUGAGUGUGCGGCAGGGCUGAGCCUGUGCAUCAGGCUGGGAAGCACAGAAGCGAAUUAGCAUCGUGCCUGACACAUAGUAAGGGUUUGUUAAAAACUGUCCAUUCCCUUUUCUACCCUUUUUCUCUCCUCUAUCCCCAACGUCAUAAUAGGGCAUUUCUGAAGGAAGGGCAAGAAAGCAACGAAGUCCCAAGAAAACAUUCUACAAUGCCGGCUAAAACAUACACCCAGAUAUAUUUUAUUCAUAUAGAAGCAAAAUUCUGGUUAGAAUUUUCAGCUGGAGGUAAAAAUGUUCAGAAUCUUUUCAGUGAUUUGGGUCGAUUCUCCGAAGCGUGCCACCGAGUUCUAUUUUGUUUUUAAUCUAACUUUACAGCAAUGGUAAAAAUGUUAUCUGGGGGCACAGACUUUCAAACUCCCACGGCCUCAGCAGCCGUAUCUCACCCUGCGGCAGGGCAGUGUAAGGGCUUCACGUCGGGCUGAGGCUGGGGCUUGGGAAGUGAUAGAAACUCUUCAGUCCAUGAAAGUCUGCAUUUUUAUGGAGGUUUUGGGAAAAGGCAGAACAGUCCAGCUGCAUCACUUCUCGCGGACCAGGCAUGCUGCUGGGUCUCCCCGGGCCUCCUGCUGCUCACACACGGUCUAAACUCGGUGACGGCUCAGCUAGAGAGCAAGGUUCCCAGAGACCAGCAGCCCCCGUCACACUGUGAGGGGAGGGCAGGAAGGGAAACUGAGGUCACUUCCAAGCGGCCGGCCAAAGGUUCGGGGCUGGACUCAACUUCAGCUCCGCUGGUGCCAGGAGAAGUGGCUCUGGGCAAAGUUCUUUCCCCUUAAGCCUCAGGGGUCUCAAGUGUGGAAUGAGGGGGUAAACUGGGCAUCUCUGUGGUGGUUUUAAAACACAUCUGCAAGUUCUCUGAUGCUCCUACUGUCCGGAGGUGGAGUCUUACCUGCAUCCUCUUGAAUGAGUUGGCCUUAGUGACUUGUUUCUAACUAACAGAACUGCCACAGAAGUGACACUUGUGUGACUUCCAAGAUGGGCUAAAAAAGGUGACAUAUCCUCCACCUGGCUCCUCUUGGGACACUUGGCUUUGAAUCUAUGAGCUGCCGAGUGGGAAAUCUGAGGCUGCCACGCUUUGAAGAAGCCCAAACCAGUCCCACAAAGUGACCACAUGCAGACAGUAUGGAGAGAGACAGGCAGCUGGCAGCCCCUGGCUGCACUGGCCCCUUGCUGUUUCAGCUCCAGUCACUACCUAACUGCAAUUGCACGAGAUCCAAGCCAGAGCUGUCCAGCCAAGCCAUUCCCAAAUCUCUGACCCACAGAAACCAUGAAAGGUAAUAAAUUACUACUGUUAUUUUAAACCACUAAGUAUUGAGGCUGAAGUGUUAUCCAGCAUGGAUAACCAGUGAUUCUAGUGUUACUUCCAGCUCUGGGGUCCCACUUCCUUUCCUCUAGAAGUCUAUAAAAAGCAUGCCUUACACCUACUGUGAAGAAUGAAAAGAAGUAAGGUAUUAUCUCUGUACUAUUAAUUCACUCAUCCAUUCAUUUAACAAAAUUUUACUGAUCACACCAAGCUUGGGACUACAUGCCAUGGAUACAAAAAUGGUGAGACACCAUUGUGCCCUUAAGGGAAGUGUUCAUGGGCUAGUUAGGGAGAUCAACUCGUAUACCUAUAAUUCUCAACAAGGGAGCAGGAGUGUACAUAUCAGAAUUACCAGAAUCACUUGGGGAGGGUCAUGGCUUCCUCAGUUUCAAAAUGCCAGGCAAGGGGAAGGGGUAUGUGCUUUCUAGCUGAAGACCACUGCCUCCAGCAGCCUGUUACUGGUAGGAGGAUCACACAUGUACUGAGACAGAAAAGGGCUUAAGGACCACUUCUGUGUGUAAGUCUUUAAAGACUUUAAGAAUCUUUAAAAAGCCUGGUAGUUAAGAGCUGUAACAAAAAGAUGUAUAAGGCAGGGUGAGCCUCAGGAGCCUGGUCAUCAGACAUGGUCACUAAUUUUCACGAAGCUGUCCCUCCCCUCCUUCGCAUUGCUCACUGGGCCCUGGGGAUUCAGCGGUGGGUGACAGACUCCCUGCCCUCAUGAAGCUCACAUUCUAGUGGAGUGACUCGCACUAGCAAACAGAAUAAAUAUCAGCUGGCAGAAGUGCUAUGGAGGAAAUCACAGCAGGGUAAGGGGAGAGGGCUUUCCUGUGGAGGGGACAGGGAGCUUCUCCGAUAGAGUGACACUGGAGCAGAGACCUGAAGGAUGUGAGGGACAGAGGCAGGCGAAUGCCUGGGGAAAGUGUGCCCAGCAGAUGGAGCAGCAGGCAGGCAGUGGGGCCUGCCCGGGGUCCAGACAGAUCACAAGGAGGCUGUGGGGCUGGGAGCUGGGAGCGGGGGAGGAGACCGAAUGUGCCCAUCUGUGGGGUAGGCGUGCUACGUGUCAGACACAGGCACAGACACAUCCCAUAUAUCAUCUUAUUUAUGCCUCACAGUAGCCCUCUAUCACUGGAUCUCUUUUCCACGUAGCUAGGACACCCCAGAGCCUGGAUUCAUGCCCAGGACUGGCUGGCUCUUAGGCCCACAGCCUCAAAAGGAGUACCUCUCUCCUUGGCUCAGGGGAGCAGAGGACAUGGGAACCCUAAGAAAGGUGAGCUUAAAGGGCUGAGGAGGCAGGAGGUGAGUGACUAGAAGAAAGGGAGGCUCUCCUCUGCCUUCAUUUAUACCUGGCUCCAUCUAGUCGUCUGACCUGUGAGAAUUCUGCUCCAGCACUAAGAACUACAGCAUUUCCUUUCAUUCCUUCCACACUUACUAAGUACAUACUCUUUCUGGCAAUAGUACUGAAGGUACUGCAUUAUUUAACCCUCACAGUGGAGAGAGCCCAUGGCUCAGAGAAGUGUCAUGAGUCACCGACAGUCCUCCAACUAGGUGGUGACUGACUGAGGACUUGAACGUGCGCCUCCUCACCGCUGACCCAGUGCGCGUCCUCAGGGUGGUGCACUCCGGGGCGGCUUUGCCCCGAUGUGGAUGCCGCUGCGCCUGUGUCACCGCAUCAGAGAACUGUUCUGUUACCAAACUCCCUGCCCUCUGGCUUCUAAUAAGCCUAAGCGCUGUCACAACGGUGAUGAGGCACUUCCAGAGUGACUGGCUGGGUGCCUACAACAGUGCUCCUGCAUGGUGCCUAAUAAAUAUUUUCGAAAAGAGAGAAUGAACGAGUUAGAAGAGAUGUACAAUGGAUCUGCUGACAGGAGAGCUCAAGAGAGCCUGCAGCUAUGCGCCCUCUAAGUCCCUACUGGGCCCCUCUGCACGCCGCCUUCUGAAUUUCAGAGGGAUGGGCGUCUGAACAAGUGCCCUUAACAUGGACAAACUGCAGCAAGGCAGAGAGAGACACCAAGCCAGGGAUUCAGAUGACAGCAGAAAGAUCAUGUGCUGAACUGCUGCUGGUUCUGAUGCCAAUGGAGAAACAUAGCCCCACGAAACCAUCAUCACUUUACAGCCGCUUGCUGAGAAGAGCCUAUAUGACAGGCAAUGUUGACAAGUGGAAAUUACACUGAAAAACCUUGUCUCUUGCCUAUGUCAACCCCAAAUUCGGGCAUAUCAAAGACAUGCUUGUAGCUUCUUAGCUAAUAAAGCCAUUUAUAAAAUACAUCAGAGUCAAAUUUACUUUGUCUAAUUAUUCCUCAGGGAAUGACUCACUCCAGAUCACCAAGAUUCCCACACUGUUACUCUUUUAAGUAUCAAAACCUUAUCUGCAGACAGAAAGUAGUCUAGUGGUUGCUUAGUACUGGGGAAGGCUCGGGGGUUGGGAGGAGGAUCCGGAAAGGGUGCAGGGCUUCUUUUCAGGGUAAUGAAAAUGUUCUAAGAUUGAUUAUGAUGAUAGAUACACAACUCCGAAUAUACAAAGGCCACUGAAUUGUACACUUUAAAUGGGGGAACUAUAUAAUAUGUGAAUUGUAUCUCAAAAAAGCUGCAAAAGAAAACCCUAUCAGAAUUACAGGAUAGAAAUUCCUCUCAGGUAUUGAACUAAUGCAUUCAUGUAUUACCCACUAAUCAUUUUUAAAUGAUUUAAGAUCAGCGCUGUUAGCACGGUUUUUGUAUCUGCUAUAAUACAGCAAUGUUCUCAGUAUUACAAUAUACAGGGCAUUGGGCCCUACACUAGAUAGUCCCAUAUUUUUUCUGCUCGCUGUAUUUUUUGUUCUAAAAAUGUCCUUUACUUUCACCAUAAAGCUUGGUGGUUAAGCUCAUGUGCUUGAGUUGCACAGCACUUACUAAUUUACUGGCGGCAUGGUCUCUGGUGAGUUACUACAACUCUC